CCCAUGCGUUCCUGUUUCGUGAAAGGAAAAGUCACAAAAAACCGUUUACUUAAACUUUCACGUUAUUUAUACCAAUUCAAAUUGUUAAUUCUUGAAAUUAUCAAUUUAUAACCAUUAGUUAAAAUAUAACAACUCUCUGGUUUAUGUAUGUGACGGGUUCUUAGACGAUUGGUGGGUCAUUUACCUUUUACAAUGAACAUCCUCGCGUAGUGUUAAUACAUUUUUUCUGAUGGUGUAACAGUACAUAUAAUUUAAAAUCAUUGAUUGGAAAAUGUCCUGUUUGGAAUGGACUCUUGUUAGUGCGUUUCUACUACACUUUGUCGCCGGUACACCUGACACUAUUCCCAACUUGAAGAUGAUUGCCACUCGUGUUUCUUUAGAGGCUGUCAAACUUUCAUGUUUGAUUUCUGGUGGGCAAGUUCAACAUUUGGAGUUUCAAAGAAAAUAUUCAGCUGGAGACGAGCUUGUUACUAUUGCCGGAAUAUCAAUCAUCAAUAAGACAUGUGAAUAUAAGUCAGCGGAUAAGGUACUGUGUUUAUGUCUGACAGCCAAUGAAGUUAUCUGUAUUGUCCUUGUACACCGGAACGAAACAGAGCACUCAUGGAAAUGUUCCUCAUUAUUAAAUGGACAUCUGUUUGGAAGCAAUAUUGUUAACGCCAGUGUUGAUGAGAACACUGUAGUUAACAACAACACCGACUCGUCUAAUACAGAACAUACAACAACCUCGACUCAGACACAAUUAUCUCCAGACAGUGGUAUUGUUCUCAUUUGUGUUGCCUCGGUUAUUUUACUUGGGGUCGUCAUUGGUGCUGUUCGUCAUCGAAGAAGUCUCCGGUAUUUGUUUAAACAUGCUAGAAACGGCUUUGGCAACAAUGAAACCUUUCAAUCUCCUACUACUUCAAGGCGAGGAUCUGUGCCCGUAAAUGUGUACAACACUUACUCAUUCGCAAAAUCUUUGGAUGACGAACCACAGAUAUUAGCUGAACCAUCCCAAAAACAAGUAUGUCAGUCCCUUCCUCGGGGUAUUCGCAGCGAAAUAUAUAGCGUGGCGUGUAUCGAACAUAUUGGCAGCGUAUCGAGCACGGAAGGAGAGCAAAAUGAUGACCAAGAUGCAGGUUAUGCAGAAAUCGAGUAAGUGACAUCAUCCACUCGCCACCAAUUGUGGAAGAUCUUAGAUUAUUUCUCAAAAAUUAAAAUGUAAAGCUGACCUGAUGGUAAACAACGAUCUUGAACUCAACCCUAAUUCACUGGUUACCGAAUUCGACAUGGACGAUCUACACUACGCAGCCGGUGGAAGGACACCGUUUGCUGAUGAAUGCUAAACGAUGGUGUACAAUACUGGUCUAUAUGUAUUAUUUGUAUGCACUUAAAAAAAAUGUUGCAUCAAAUGUCAAACGUUCACUUUCAAUUGAAAACAAUACAACAUUAUCAUAUUAGUUUGGUAAUGCAUCUUUGCUUUUUGACACCCAUGUUUUUCAAAGAUGACGAAAACAGUAUAUAAUACAGUGUAUCUUUAAUUGAAGCGAGGUAUUCUCCUUUUUUAUUGAUAUAUAAUUUGACGAUAUACACUUGUUCAUGUCAUGUAAGGCAAAAGUUCAACCAUUAGGAGAAGCCCGCUCUUAAAUCCAUCAUGUAGGCAAUUGUUAAGUACCUCAAAUAACCAUAUACUCAUAACAUUGUAUGUUGAAAUAUUGUACCAAAUGCCAAUUAUUGUUCAAAGCACAUCACACAUAUACUUAUUUAUAUCAUGUUCGCUUGUUUUCCACGUUUAGAUGGAAGUUUUUUUGUAUGCAAUUGUUUUUCAUUUGUGAUUGUGUUAAGUCGUGUUUUUUGUCAUUUGUGCUAAUUAUUGGCAAAUGCCGUGUAUUUGAUAAACUCAUAGUGCUUGAUGCAUUGCAAGUUUCUCACUGUUUAUAAUAGUAGUGUUUAUGCAUGUCUGGUAAACAAAUAAAACUGUGAUGAAUUCA